ACUAAAUAGAUACCCGGGUAGUCCACGCCCUAAACGAUGUCUACUAGUUGUUGGUGGAGUAAAAUCCAUGAGUAAACGCAGCUAAACGCGUGAAGUAGACCGCCUGGGGAGUACGGUCGCAAGAUUAAAACUCAAAGGAAUUGACGGGGGCCCGCACAAGCGGUGGAUUAUGUGGAUUAAUUCGAUGCAACGCGAAAAACCUUACCUGGCCUUGACAUGCCACUAACGAAGCAGAGAUGCAUUAGGUGCCCGUAAGGGAAAGUGGACACAGGUGCUGCAUGGCUGUCGUCGGCUCGUGUCGUGAGAUGUUGGGUUAAGUCCCGCAACGAGCGCAACCCUUGCCAUUAAUUGCCAUCAUUUAGUUGGGCACUUUAAUGGGACUGCCGGUGACAAACCGGAGGAAGGUGGGGAUGACGUCAAGUCCUCAUGGCCCUUAUGGCCAGGGCUUCACACGUAAUACAAUGGUCGGUACAGAGAGUUGCCAACCCGCGAGGGGAGCUAAUCUCAGAAAGCCGAUCGUAGUCCGGAUUGUUCUCUGC
rnacentral:rRNA from 1 species